UCAUCUCCCUCGUUUUUUGCCCCCUCUCAUCUCCCUCGUUAGUCGUUACAUUCCAAAUAUUUCAGACGUUAGACAUGAACUUCUCCAGUUUUCUAUCCCAAAUAUCCCCUGCUACGGUGUAACGUAUGAAAAGCCGGCUAGAGGCCCAAUAACCGGAGGCUGUCUGGGUUGUAGCUUAGUCUCGUUGCAUAUUAAGCUUUUAAAACCAUGAAUUCAACUCCAUGGCGAUUUUUGGUUUCAUUUCUCGAUUAAGGUUAACGAUUCGCUGUUUAAGCAUGUGAUACAUUAUUGGUUUUAAAGUGGCUUGUGAGACCACCUCUCAACUAUGCCAAUCGGUAUUUUGAAUGCCACUAGGCAUCUUGGAUCUUCGUGUAUCAAACAGAAACAUCCCUUGACAUCCAAUAUAUUAAGUUGUUUGUUGCCUUUGGAGAAUCCCUAUCUUGCUAGUCCGUACUGCUUUCUGAAGAUUUUUUAAUCGGAGCUUUGACUGCAUCAAGUGUGAUGUUGGUCUAAUCUUGGCUAGCGUUUUCUGCUCCCGACCAAAAAUGGAUAGACAUGGCAGCACUUUCUAUGAAGCGGAUAUACUUUCAUCAUCUGCAAAGAUUUUAUGUCAAAUACGAGAAAAGAGUGUCACUUAGAUACUGAAUGGUCAAGGUGGAAUUUUGGUCAUAAGAACGCCGUCAAGAUGAUUUCAUUGCAUUGGAUGAUAUGCUAAAGGACAGUUUAGAGCAUGUGCAGAUGAUGAGGUGAGCUUUGAUAUCGCAAACUCUGAAGAAUUUGAUAGAUAUGGGUCUUAGUCAAUUUCACAGUAGUUUCGCGGUUUGUGCUAAGAAUAUUGUGUGGAUUUUUUUUUUUUUUUUUUGUUUUUUGCCUGGAACUUCAUAAUCUCAUUUUUGCUUUUACAUUGAAGUAUAAAUUUAUAUCAAUCUAAGGAGUGUCAUUUCUGUAACUAUUUUUCAAAGGUUUGUACCUAUUAGAUUUUUCUCUGUUGUGCACCUUGGUCCACAGAAUAGGGAGUGUUUUCUGACAACCGUCUUGAUUGGAUACUGGCGUGUAUAUAAUCAUACCCAUAUUCUCUGUAUGCGUGAGUAUUUAGAUAGAAGAUGGUGUAAGUGCCAAAAUAAAUUACUUGCUUGUUUCUUACAUGAAUUUUUGCGGGAAAAGCACAUCUUUGGCAUAGAUAGAUCUUGCAGGAUAUACAAAUAUGACGGCAAUGAAAGAACCAUCAUGAGCUUUUUGAGCUUAGGAGGUAAGUUGGGAGCAGAUUAAUGGAUUGGGACAAAAUAGUGCAGGACGUUUUCUUCCUGACGUAUUUGCCCACAACAAUCUUGUUGAUGGCCAGUGUAAAAUGGGUGUAAUGGAGACGGCAGACUGGCUUAUUAAACAGUUGUCAGAACUGGGCUCCUCUCCUUAAUGUGUCACCUACAACAUAUUUUAUAAAGGGUUAUUGCCUUGUUGAUAAUGUAGGUAAAGCUCUCUACCUGUUUUCUACCAUGGCUCAUGCUAGUAUUCAGCCAGCAGGGUUACAUGUGACACAGUGGUACAUUCAUUGGAUGGGAUAAAUUUUUUUUGAAGGAAGCUAAAAUGCUCCUUGAAAAAAUAUUAAAUGAUGAUGAUGAUGAAGGAAUACCACUUUAAUUGCCUCUACUACAUGGACUAUCAUUCAGAAUGGAGCUAUGAUUCAGGCUCUUUGUUUUCGGGCGUUCGGCUCAAUGUUUUACUUAGAAUGUAUAAAUUAAUUCACAAGUGAAAUUAGAAUGUAUAAAUUAAUUCACAAGUGAAGUUUGGAAACUUUUAUGAUGCUUACUCUCUGAAGAAGAGAUGGUUCUAAAUGGACUCUGUCCUGAUGUGAUUUUUUCAGUUUUUUAAUAGGUGCUGCUUGCAAUUUAAGCAACUACUUAGAUGGCAUUGCAUGAGAAGUAAAAUAAAAGAAACAAAAGAGGACUUUGCCAAAAUACAGAAAUCUAGUUUAUUGAGUGAUCAUGUUCCAGUUCAGAUUCUACAAGUACCACAAACUAGAAGAAACAGUCAUGGUGUUUAACUUUUAUCAGGACUAUGUGGUGAGUAAAUUAUACAGUCAUCUGUACUAUUACUGUAUUAUGCUAAUAGCUUUAGAAAUUGUGAAGUUACAAGUUUUGAAAAGGGCAGUGGUGCUUGAAUGAAAGUCUUUGUUUUUUGUUUUUGUGUUAGACUUAAAAUGCACACCUCAGGUUUUGGUUCAUAUGAGUGACCGAUGCUCUAGGUAUGUAUCUCUGCAGACCAUUUGUACAAUAUGCUUCUAUUUGAUGAAUCAGCCUUGUCACCAUUUCAGCCCUUUUGCUGAAGACUCUGUCCAGAAGCUUAUCAUUAUGUUGGAUAAAUUCUUUUAGAUGUUUUAAUCAUGGCGAUCAGUAUUGUGAAAUAAUCAUAUGAUAUGGUCUGAUGCAUACAACAGCUGGUACAAACAGAUGGCCAAAUCUUUCUUGUGCUUGAAUUGUUGAAACUGCACAAAUUGGUGCAAUUUCAGAUAGAAUCAAAGAAUUGUGCAAUUUUGGAAUUCAUUCUUCUCUCGUCUUGGGCUUGUGCAGCAGGUCACAUUUUUUAAUUUUUUCCAUUGGAGUGUUUCAGCUGCUAUCACUUAUCAUGCCCCUUCUAAAUUGAAAGCCAAAAGAUUAUUGGUUGGGAUGUUGCUUGCAAAGUAACUUAACAUUAGACUUAUAGUUUGUUUUUGCACACAUGCACAUGUUAUAUAUUGUGCAAGGUAUUUUCACUUUGUUUAUAAGUUUGAGGAUUUGAUACAAUUUCCAACUCAGGAUUUGAAAAUAUAAACUUGGUAUUGCCAUUUGACAACUGUUUUUCUAAUCGUUUUUAUGUUCUUUUCAGGAUUCUGAACUCAUUUUCUUCUGGGACACUCAUGAUUAGAAUGGGAGUACAACUUGAUAAUAAAUGCUUGGGAAUGGAACCACGAUAGAGAGCGCUGAAAUCUUAAACUGCAUGCCGCUGCUGGGAUUGACUUUGGUUGGAUGUUAUUCUCCUCUGGAAGAUGUUUAUGAAGAUAUUAAAUCAGCAAACAUUUGGGAGGGAAGGCAACAAAUGAAACUGGAGUUUUGCAUGAUCACUGCAGGAAUUUGUUUGCAGCCACAUGGAAUUAUGCACAUCUAACAAUGCCUGCAGGGGCUGUAUAUAUUCAGACUCGGCACUGUUGAGUGGGGCAAGCAAUUGUUAUCUCAAGAGAAGGAGACUUUGCGCUUUGAAUCACUCCGAAUCUGAAUGAUGUGAGAGGCUAAGAGCUGGCUUUCAUGGUCCAAGUCAACUUUUUCCGAGUUAAAAUGCUAAACAUACAGACAAUAUAAAUGCAACUUUUUCAGUGUUAUUGUCAGCUUCCAGAUUCCAUACAAACAUUUCAGAUCGUCUGUGGUGAUAGUGCUAUAAGAAGGGAAGCUCCACUGUGUUGAUAGUGCUACAAGAAGAUCAUGUAUUUGUCCAGCACCAAAUUUAUGGGUGGAGUCAUUGAAUGUAGAAGACACAAUUUUCAGGAACAGUAGAGAUGCCUAGAAAGUUCCCUCCUUAUUGGCAGUGCCUCUGCUUUUCCACUUUCAGAUGCCAUUUUAGUCAAAUAAGCAUUCCUUGCCGGCCAAACAAGUAGCAUUAACUAUCAAUAAAGUUAGUCUAAUUAAUAAAAAUUUAAUUUAUAAUAUAUAAGGUUGAGAUUAAAUUUUGUUAUUGAUAUGAAAAUUUAUUAAUAGAUAAUUUGUAAAUAUUUUUGUAAAUGUUUAUUAAACCUAAAAACAUAUCUUGAUUUUUGGUGAAUCUCGAGGCCCAACUCACUUUUUUUUUUAAUGCUGAACAAAUAGCAUCAACUCAAUAUCUCAUAGAUUUCAUAGUGCUAUUUAAUUUUACCACUUAGAUCUUAUGAAAGAAAGCAACAAAGUUGAAUUUCAUUUGAAGGGUUUAACACGAGCGUGUGUGUGUGAAAUGCAUCAUGUGAUGUAAUUGGUGUUGUGAGUGUGUUGUUGACACAGCAUGAUGUGAAAGAUGGACCCUUUGCUGCAGAUAUAAUUGGUUCAUGUCAUGUGCUCCCUCGCUACUUAAUUACUUGCCACUUUCACCAUUUGGUAGGGUUCUUGUGGCUGUGGUGAGGCUUCGUGCAACCAUGCAGUCCCUUUAUUUACGGCAAAUAUAAAUCCCGCCACUAAAUAUAAAUGAAUUUAUAUCUAAAUAUGUGGUUAAGUAUACUUUAGCAUGCAAAAUUUAUAAUUUAGAAUGAAGCACUUUUUUUAGCGUUGGACAUUGUUCCUUCUUUUCUCUCUUUCAAUAUUGUA